CCUACGGGAGGCUGCAGUGAGGAAUAUUGGGCAAUGGAGGCAACUCUUACCCAGCAAUGCCGCGUGAAUGAAGAAGGUCUUCGGAUUGUAAAGUUCUUUUAUUGGGGACGAAAAAAAUGACGGUACCUGACUAAGAAGCCCCGCCUAACUACGUGCCAGCAGCCGCGGUGAUACGUAGGGGGCAAGCGUUAUCCGGAUUUACUGGGUGUAAAGGGAGCGUAGACGGCGCUGCAAGUCCGGAGUGAAAGGCCAUGGCUUAACCAUGGUACUGCUCUGGAAACUGGAGAGCUUGAGUGCGGGGGGGGCAGGCGGAAUUCCUAGUGUAGCGGUGAAAUGCGUAGAUAUUACGAGGAACACCGGCGGCGAAGGCGGCCUGCUGGAGCGUAACUGACGUUGAGGCUCGAAAGCGUGGGGAGCAAACAGGAUUAGAUACCCCUGUAGUC
rnacentral:rRNA from 1 species